rnacentral:rRNA from 1 species
UACAGAGGUCCCGAGCGUUGUUCGGAUUCAUUGGGCGUAAAGGGUGCGUAGGCGGUCGGGUAAGUCUGAUGUGAAAUCUCACAGCUUAACUGUGAAACUGCAUUGGAUACUAUCCGGCUCGAGGAAUGGAGGGGAGACUGGAAUACUUGGUGUAGCAGUGAAAUGCGUAGAUAUCAAGUGGAACACCAGUGGCGAAGGCGAGUCUCUGGACAUUUCCUGACGCUGAGGCACGAAAGCCAGGGGAGCAAACGGG